UCUCUCUGUCUCUGUCUCUCUCUCUGCAAAUGGUGGAGGAGGCUAGGAGCCGCAGGAGAAAGCUCAAAGAGCCACAUGCGGCUCUAGAGCUGCGAGUUGCCAACCCAUGCUCUAGUUACUCCAGUAAUUCACAAGGAAGUGAACAGGAUCCAGUCAGUGAGCUAGGCCAUGUAUUUGAUAGAUACAGGCCUCUCCUGGAUAGUUAAGGGCUUCUGGAGGAAACCUAUUGUUGGACCCAUGCACAGGUAUGAGAGGCAAUUGUCCCCUCACCUUUAAAGGUGGUAUAGUGUGCCACUUCUUAAGAGCUUAUUGCUGGAUCCAACCAUUCUGGAUAAUUUUCAUCUGGUCUCCAACUUUCUCCUGGGAAAGAUAGUAGAGAGAGAUGAUCAGGCUUCAGUUGCAAAAGAUCCUGGGGGAGAGGAUUAUCUAGACCUGGUCAGGUCUAGAACCUGAUUUUUCUGCUUCAAAGCUGGUUCCACCUGUGUUGAUAGGCAGGCAAAGGUCAACCUCUAAGUUCCUCCUUUAUAGGGUGCCACAGAUUUGAUGUUUUUUCUUCUCCAGUUCAACUUUUACAUACAGAAUCUAUAGUGAUAUGUAGUGAUGAAGGCAGUGAUGUGUGUGUGUGGUAGAAUAUGCAUAUGCUCACUCUGCUCCAUAAGCUUCAUUGGUUGCUACUUGGCUUCUUCCUUUUUAGUCAGAUCAGCUAAGUUCAGGUCAGAAAGUGUGUCUUCACAGUAAAGUUACUGUCCAAUGGAAUGACAUCCAUAGAUUUGUAUUGUUCCCACUCCUCUGACUGUUCAUAAAUUGUUUAAUGUUUGGUCUUCAUCCCAGUUGCUCGGCCAGAAUGGGAAUUCUUUUGGUUGCCUUUUGGCUGCUUGGAUUUUGCUUUCUAGUUUACUAUCUUCAUUUUCCUCUUAACACAGUUUUUUUUAUCUGUAAACCAUUCAGGGUACCCCCAGAAUCAAAAUUGAAGUAAUAGUAACAAUAAGUAAACAAACAAACAAACAAACAAAUAAACAUGCCUAUACUUCACUGCACUCCAUUCUCUGGUGCUGCCAUUCAUUUGUUGUCGUGUAGGGCCACCUUCAGCUUAUGGAGACACCAGGCCAGCCAAGCAGAACACAGAGUCUGUUUAGCCUGAAGUUUGUUACUUCCUUAGCAAUUUUCCUCAAGGCCCUCUGAAAAAGAAAAUUUGGCAUCUGGGGAAAGAACUUGAUUCCUACUGCUGAACCAGUUGAAUCAUGAGAUUGGGAAAAGUUGGCAUCAACUUCUGUUUAUAAACAGCAAGACCUGACAUAUUCAUUUCCUUUGUUAUAGAGAUGAGGGCCACAUAGCAGAAUAGAUAUUUCAGCAAUGAUAAAAAAAAUGCUAGAGUUCUAUCUGUGUAUUCUUUUAUAUAAUAUAGGUAAUCUAUCAGUUCCGUUCCCUUCCUAAUUUUUAUCCUUCAUUUUUAUUGCUGUUAUCAUAUUUAUUUUAGCAUUCUUCUAUUAGCAGCAUUUAGUGACAUUGCAAAAAGAUGCUUCAGAAAAGGAUGAACUUUUCAUUGUGACGAGUAAUAAGUUAAGCUUAAUUAUUUUGUGUAAGUCGAAAAGCUGCAGUUUGUUGUUGUUCCUGAGUCUUUCCUCCCUAAUCGCAAUUCAACACUCUUUUUCAAGCAUUGCUAUGGAUGAACUUCAUGCUGCUAGACAAAUAAAUUCUUUGGAAAAAUGCACAUUUUUAUUUGGAAAUAAUGCCAUCUCUUUGUUAGAUUUGCAGCAAUCCUAUUUUGCCUCUACUGUUUUUAAGUCGAAAAUGAAAAAUUAUAUAGAAGAUGUUUGUGCAUCAUAUUGUGCUGAAUGGUAUGUAGGUCAGCAUGCUGCACCAUGGAAGAUAAGGCACAGUGAAUAAGUGUUCUAUGUACUUACAAGCAAAUAUCAGUCAUAAUAGAAGUAGACAGAUCUACAAGAGCGUUUUGGCUUUGGAAAUGCUUCUUGUCAUUAGCAUUUUAAAAAAGCUAUGAGAUUCAGGCCUAUCAGCACCGAUUCACUGCAAAGCCUGGCUUAUACAGGUUGUUAUCUGUUCUGUACAGAGGUGCAGCUGGUUACCAAAUGGAUUUGCAGAUUUUUUCCAGUUUCUUCUUUUUUUUUUAAAAGCAAGGAUGAGUAAAAAGGCAAAGAAUCAGGGAUACUGCAGCCACUUUCUGAGGUAGAGGGGAUAUAAUGGCUGUCUCUGAAGGUGACUGGAAGAGGUGUAACCUCCCAAGUAGAACAUUUUAUGGAUGCAGUGAAGGGGGUACAGCGAUGGUAACUCUUUAGGGAAGACCAUACGUGGAACAGGAAAGGAGAGACGUUCUCAUUGCUCUACUUCGCUGUUCAGCUUCACGGUUCUACCAUGUUCCCAUUUGCUUGGCCCUAUUAUGUUGGGAAGUUUUUGGUCUUACACAAGAUUUUUUUUUAUGCAAACAGGACUGAUAUAGCUGCAAUCAGAGCUAGAUGAAAACCACAAUGCCCAAAUCUUGUUAUAUUGGUGCUAGAGACUGUAUGGUACCAGAGAUUUCAUGUUCCUGUCUCAUCUUGUUCCAACUAUCUUUUAUAUGGUUCCUGUUGCUCAGAUCUAUCUGUUCUCAAACAUUGUAACUUCUGCUCUGCUGAUGAAAAUCCUGUGGAAAUUAUGAUUCUGAAGUAUAUAUAAAGGUAAUCUGCUUACAGCAAACCAAAAUUCCUCUUCAACAUCAUGUUCUCACACAUCUAAAUAAUGUUUAUUUAAGAACGUAGUCCUGCUGCAGCAAUGAAUAAAGAAAAUGAAGGUUGAAGGCUGGGAAUACCAAAGAUAGACUAGGACAAUAAAUAUAUUAUUGUUUUCUCAUUCACAUAAUAGCAUAAAGCAAUUUUCACCAGCCUGACACUCUUUGAUAUAUUGGGAUUGUAUAUUAUAUUAUUCCUAAUAAAUAUUGUCAAGAGUGUGAAGUCUAUCAUAAGGUAUAGUAUAUAUACUUGUGUGAUAAAAAAAUUCUUCAGAAUGAUGCAGGUUCAGAUCAAAGGCCUAUCUAGUCAAGGAUACUUUUCAUAUUGACCUACAGCAAACUAUAGAAAUGAGUAGCAAGCAAGGCAUAAACCCAAUAGCACUCUCCCACAUGCACUUGACAUCAAUUAUCUUCAGGUACACUUCUAUUUUACUAGAGACAGCAUCUAGCCAUCUCAUAGCCUUAUCCUUUAUGGGCUUUUAUUCCCCUUGACAAUCUGCACAAAUUGAUGCUGAUGCUUUAUUUUAUGAAAGUAAUUUCCAUAAUAUCAGUAUGAUCUGGGUGAAGGAAAUCCUUUUUUGGUUCUAAAAAUUUUCAGUAUUUAACUUGAAUAGAUAAUGCUGGAUUGUAAUACCAAAAGAAAAUGGUCCUUUCAAAUUUGUCCAGUCCCUGCAUAAUUACAUGUCUCUCCGUCAUAUUCUUAUUUCUUUUUUCUUGAGUUAACAAUCUUUCCAAAUUAUAUUUCCCCAUAAAACAAGUAAACAAUGUUGACUGCUUCCAUUUGUAUCUUCAUCCCUGUUGAUAACCUCAGACAACUUUAAAAUAAAGCUAUAAAUUGUG